AUUGAACGCUGGCGGCAGGCCUAACACAUGCAAGUAGAGCGGAUGACGGGAGCUUGCUCCUUGAUUCAGCGGCGGACGGGUGAGUAAUGCCUAGGAAUCUGCCUGGUAGUGGGGGACAACGUUUCGAAAGGAACUCUAAUACCGCAUACGUCCUACGGGAGAAAGCAGGGGACCUUCGGGCCUUGCGCUAUCAGAUGAGCCUAGGUCGGAUUAGCUAGUUGGUGGGGUAAUGGCUCACCAAGGCGACGAUCCGUAACUGGUCUGAGAGGAUGAUCCUUCACACUGGAACCGAGACACGGUCCAGACUCCUACGGGAGGCAGCAUUGGGGAAUAUUGGACAAUGGGCGAAAGCCUGAUCCAGCCAUGCCGCGUGUGUGAAGAAGUUCUUCGGAUUGUAAAGCACUUUAAGUUGGGAGGAAGGGCAGUAAGUUAAUACCUUGCUGUUUUGACGUUACCGACAGAAUAAGCACCGGCUAACUCUGUGCCAGCCGCCGCCGUAAGAC
rnacentral:rRNA from 1 species